UGGAUGGAAUGACCAGGCAAAAGAGCUCUGGGGGUAUUCCUCCUCAUUCUGCUAUGAUUCCCGAGGCCUGAGCAGAUUAAAGAUAGGGUUGAUUCUGCAGUUAGGGGUAACUGCUCAGCUUGCGUCUUCAUCUCUCCUUCCGACUUCCCGAUGGGUAACCGACAUCUGAACCAUCCAUGUUUCCCCUGCAGAAUUACCUCGUCGGUCUAGAAGGAGAAAAAGCCAACAGAAACAUAAAAAGGAAAAACAUGAGGUGGUCCCCAUGGGUCAUGGCGCUCAGGACGGGAUGAGUCCCAAGGAUUUAAACUUCAGAGCCAACCAGCGAGGACAAUGGAUUGGAAUCGAACAAGCCUGGAGACAAUUCGGAGGAGGUUGUCACCAUAUUCGGUGUGCACGCUCUUCUGAGCGAAGCGCUAUGCAUCGAAUCCUGAAUGAAUCCUGAAUCACACCAAGCACACACCUGUCAUGGUAUGUUUUCUCCGUGUAGACAGGCUGACAUCAGCUUUGCUUCCAUUUAACCCAACGGGAAGCCACUAAGUCAUAUCAAGGUUGUGGGCACCUGCUCCACGAAAGUAAGUGCCCCCCCCAACCCCAGCCCAGAAGCCUCACUAGAGCAA